rnacentral:rRNA from 1 species
AUGACUCUGAACCAUAAAGGCCUGCUGCCACAAGUUACUUUUGUGAUGAAGAUCCCAAUCGGUGUGCCAUCAGAGGACGCUGCAGAUUCAAAUUUCUGUGUGCAAUUGUUCAAGCAUGUGAAGCAAAUGGGUGUCCUGAGCACAGAACUCUUCUGCAAUCAUGGUCUGCAGUUAAGGCUAUUUGAGCCAUUACUGUCCUCUGCUCUAGCUAUCAUUACAGUGCAUUACUUGAUCUCCAUGGUGCCAAGAGAUACGACUGUCCCGAGUAAGCCGAUAAUCCAAGUUAUGGGUGAUCUGAACCUGGGUGUUGUGGAAUGGCGACUAAUUAUCAGUUCUAUGGCGGCACAUUUAUUUCAGAACAUGCAAAUUGGGCCGUAUGAACUAGUUGGUGCUGCUAUUGUUUGCCCUAAUUGCUCUAAACAUUCCCAAUGGAAAGUUGCAUGGCCACUCCAUUCCAAGAGGAAAACAUAUGCUAGCAGGUCCUGUCUUAUGCCACGGCCAUCAUUUUCUUGCUCUCUUGACGGAUUUACUCUGAAGCACACAUGGAUGCUACCACAUGUCAUUUAUGUGAUGAAGAGUUUAUCUGGUAAUCUGAAUUCUCUUAGAGCUUUCUCAAGCUAUUUUCCAAAUCUGCAACUGAAGUCCAGAUUCAGUCAAACAAAUGUCCACCUGAAGCUUACAUGGUCAUCUGAUUCUUGCAAUUGCCGAGCAGUGCAAGUGUGUUCCGAACUGCCUAAGGUGGAAUAUUUUGAACAUCAGUUUAUGGGUGUUUGCGAGCAUCACAUAGUGGUUUGGAACUAUGCUGUUCUGGGUUGCAUUCCUAUUUCUGAUAAAUUGUAG